rnacentral:rRNA from 1 species
AGAGUUUGAUCAUGGCUCAGAACGAACGCUGGUGGCGUGCUUAACACAUGCAAGUCGAACGCGAAAGUGGGCUUCGGCCCGCGAGUAGAGUGGCGCACGGGUGAGUAACGCGUAGGUAAUCUAUCUUUAUGUUCGGGAUACCUAGCCGAAAGGCUAACUAAUACCGGAUACGCUCGCGGGACCGAGAGGUUUUGCGAGGAAAGGUGCCCUCUCCUUGGAAGGUGCCGCAGAGAGACGAGCCUGCGUACCAUUAGCUAGUUGGUGGGGUAAUGGCCUACCAAGGCUACGAUGGUUAGCGGGUCUGAGAGGAUGAUCCGCCACGCUGGAACUGGAACACGGACCAGACUCCUACGGGAGGCAGCAGUGAGGAAUCUUGCGCAAUGGGGGAAACCCUGACGCAGCGACGCCACGUGGGUGAAGAAGGCUUUCGGGUCGUAAAACCUUGUCAGGGGGGAAGAAAUGCCAGUCGGUUAAUACCCGGUUGGUUUGACGGUACCCCCAAAGGAAGCACCGGCUAACUCCGUGCCAGCAGCCGCGGUAAUACGGAGGGUGCGAGCGUUGUUCGGAUUUACUGGGCGUAAAGGGCGCGUAGGCGGCCUGUUAAGUCAGACGUGAAAGCCCACGGCUCAACCGUGGAAGUGCAUCUGAAACUGGCAGGCUUGAGUACUGGAGGGGAAAGUGGAAUUCCCGGUGUAGAGGUGAAAUUCGUAGAUAUCGGGAGGAAUACCGGUGGCGAAGGCGACUUUCUGGACAGAUACUGACGCUGAGGCGCGAAAGCGUGGGGAGCAAACAGGAUUAGAUACCCUGGUAGUCC